GUGGGGAAUAUUGGACAAUGGGCGAAAGCCUGAUCCAGCCAUGCCGCGUGUGUGAAGAAGGCCUUUUGGUUGUAAAGCACUUUAAGCGAGGAGGAGGCUACCGAGAUUAAUACUCUUGGAUAGUGGACGUUACUCGCAGAAUAAGCACCGGCUAACUCUGUGCCAGCAGCCGCGGUAAUACAGAGGGUGCAAGCGUUAAUCGGAUUUACUGGGCGUAAAGCGCGCGUAGGUGGCCAAUUAAGUCAAAUGUGAAAUCCCCGAGCUUAACUUGGGAAUUGCGUUCGAUACUGGUUGGCUAGAGUAUGGGAGAGGAUGGUAGAAUUCCAGGUGUAGCGGUGAAAUGCGUAGAGAUCUGGAGGAAUACCGAUGGCGAAGGCAGCCAUCUGGCCUAAUACUGACACUGAGGUGCGAAAGCAUGGGGAGCAAACAGGAUUAGAUACCCGGGUAGUCC
rnacentral:rRNA from 1 species